UGGAAAUCCCUCAAAUCACGACUUUAUAUUUGUUCCGAAAACCAUACAUAGAACUGAGGAUGUAACAUAUCAGUUUGGAAUUAUACAGCAAGAUCUUGUACCAUUAUGCUUUCAUGGGUAAUAAACAGCAUUACUUACAGAAGAAAAGAAAAGAAAGACCCCGACUUUCUUAUUACCUAUAACUUACACAUUCGACAAACCAAUAACAAUAAGAAUUCAAACAUUUCAACAGAAUAUUCAAGACAAACUGAACCAAUGUUUCAAAAUUGCUUCUUUACGAUCAACUCACAGUUUCAUGCCUGCAAAGUUCUAAUUUUGCUGCUUUGAGUUCUCCGCGGAGAGCUGAGAGGAAGUUUCUGCGAAACUUACUGCAGGGGCGGAUGUCAUGGUUUGAUAUUGCGCAGACAAUUGGGGAGCAAGAGGCUGACUAUAGUACAUCUUAGCAUGUGGAUCAGCGAAAUCAUAAGCAUAAUUGGCGGUGGUGGCUGAAGUAGGAGGAAUUGACUGAGAAGGAUGAUGAAUCUGAGAGUAGUUCACGUAUUGUGGCU
rnacentral:misc_RNA from 1 species